rnacentral:rRNA from 1 species
UACGUAGGGUGCGAGCGUUGUCCGGAAUUAUUGGGCGUAAAGAGCUUGUAGGCGGUUUGUCGCGUCUGCUGUGAAAAUCCGGGGCUCAACCCCGGACUUGCAGUGGGUACGGGCAGACUAGAGUGUGGUAGGGGAGACUGGAAUUCCUGGUGUAGCGGUGAAAUGCGCAGAUAUCAGGAGGAACACCGAUGGCGAAGGCAGGUCUCUGGGCCACUACUGACGCUGAGGCACGAAAGCGUGGGGAGCAAACAGG